UAACACAUGCAAGUCGAGCGAUCUCUUCGGAGAGAGCGGCGGACGGGUGAGUAACGCGUGGGUAACCUGCCCUGUACACACGGAUAACAUACCGAAAGGUAUACUAAUACGGGAUAAUAUAUGAAAGUCGCAUGGCUUUUGUAUCAAAGCUCCGGCGGUACAGGAUGGACCCGCGUCUGAUUAGCUAGUUGGUAGGGUAAUGGCUUACCAAGGCAACGAUCAGUAGCCGACCUGAGAGGGUGAUCGGCCACACUGGAACUGAGACACGGUCCAGACUCCUACGGGAGGCAGCAGUGGGGAAUAUUGCACAAUGGGCGAAAGCCUGAUGCAGCAACGCCGCGUGAGCGAUGAAGGCCUUCGGGUCGUAAAGCUCUGUCCUCAAGGAAGAUAAUGACGGUACUUGAGGAGGAAGCCCCGGCUAACUACGUGCCAGCAGCCGCGGUAAUACGUAGGGGGCUAGCGUUAUCCGGAAUUACUGGGCGUAAAGGGUGCGUAGGUGGGUUUUUAAGUCAGAAGUGAAAGGCUACGGCUCAACCGUAGUAAGCUUUUGAAACUAGAGAACUUGAGUGCAGGAGAGGAGAGUAGAAUUCCUAGUGUAGCGGUGAAAUGCGUAGAUAUUAGGAGGAAUACCAGUAGCGAAGGCGGCUCUCUGGACUGUAACUGACACUGAGGCACGAAAGCGUGGGGAGCAAACAGGAUUAGAUACCCUGGUAGUCCACGCCGUAAACGAUGAGUACUAGGUGUCGGGGG
rnacentral:rRNA from 1 species